rnacentral:hammerhead_ribozyme from 1 species
UGGCGAAACCGCCGUGUGGGAUCAUCGCGCGGUGGUCGCGGAGGGGUUGGCCGCCCUCCGCCUGAUGAGCCAGGCCAAA